UGGUGGGUAGUUUGACUGGGGCGGUCUCCUCCUAAAGAGUAACGGAGGAGCACGAAGGUUGGCUAAUCCUGGUCGGACAUCAGGAGGUUAGUGCAAUGGCAUAAGCCAGCUUGACUGCGAGCGUGACGGCGCGAGCAGGUGCGAAAGCAGGUCAUAGUGAUCCGGUGGUUCUGAAUGGAAGGGCCAUCGCUCAACGGAUAAAAGGUACUCCGGGGAUAACAGGCUGAUACCGCCCAAGAGUUCAUAUCGACGGCGGUGUUUGGCACCUCGAUGUCGGCUCAUCACAUCCUGGGGCUGAAGUAGGUCCCAAGGGUAUGGCUGUUCGCCAUUUAAAGUGGUACGCGAGCUGGGUUUAGAACGUCGUGAGACAGUUCGGUCCCUAUCUGCCGUGGGCGCUGGAGAACUGAGGGGGGCUGCUCCUAGUACGAGAGGACCGGAGUGGACGCAUCACUGGUGUUCGGGUUGUCAUGCCAAUGGCACUGCCCGGUAGCUAAAUGCGGAAGAGAUAAGUGCUGAAAGCAUCUAAGCACGAAACUUGCCCCGAGAUGAGUUCUCCCUGACCCUUUAAGGGUCCUGAAGGAACGUUGAAGACGACGACGUUGAUAGGCCGGGUGUGUAAGCGCAGCGAUGCGUUGAGCUAACCGGUACUAAUGAACCGUGAGGCUUAACCUUACAACGCCGAAGGUGUUU
rnacentral:rRNA from 1 species